UGAUCUUCAGAGCCUGCUAGAUCGUUCUC
rnacentral:piRNA from 1 species